CUCUUUCGACGAGGUUUGGGCGUUGUCGUUGGGGAAGAUCUUGUCGACGGAGCUCGGCCACCACGCUUGGACCAGCUUGUUCUCGUUGGAGAAGAGGAACUUGUUGCCGGCGGAGCCGCAGAGGACGGCGGCGGGCUCGCCGAGGAGGUGGGUGCGGAAGACGUGGGAGGAGUAGCGGGCCAUGCGGUCGAAGAUGAACUUCUCCGGGUGGCCCUUCCACCCGGUGGAGAGGAACUCGAGGCUCUCCCCGAUCACCGGCCACCCGGUCUUGCCCGGUGGGAGGCCUCCGGAGGCCGGCUUCGUCUUGUAGAAGAGGAGGUGGAGGGAGAGGAAGAUGACGGAGACGAAGAGGCAGAGGAGGGAAGCGUAGAAGAACU
rnacentral:lncRNA from 1 species